rnacentral:rRNA from 1 species
CAGUCGCCGCGGUAAAACGAACCGUGCGAACGUUAUUCGGAAUCACUGGGCUUAAAGCGCGUGUAGGCGGAUGGGUGCGUCGGUCGCUGAAAUCCCCCGGCUUAACCGGGGAAGGGGCGCCGAAACGACCCGUCUGGAGGGGCGUAGGGGGAGCCGGAACUUCCGGUGGAGCGGUGAAAUGCGUUGAGAUCGGAAGGAACGCCCGUGGCGAAAGCGGGCUCCUGGACGCCUACUGACGCUGAGACGCGAAAGCCAGGGGAGCGAACGGGAUUAGAUACCCCAGUAGUCCCUGUCUCUUAUA